rnacentral:rRNA from 1 species
GACGAACGCUGGCGGCGUGCUUAACACAUGCAAGUCGAACGGAAAGGCCCUGCUUGCAGGGUACUCGAGUGGCGAACGGGUGAGUAACACGUGGGUGAUCUGCCCUGCACUUCGGGAUAAGCCUGGGAAACUGGGUCUAAUACCGGAUAGGAGCCAUUUUUAGUGUGAUGGUUGGAAAGUUUUUUCGGUGUAGGAUGAGCUCGCGGCCUAUCAGCUUGUUGGUGGGGUAAUGGCCUACCAAGGCGGCGACGGGUAGCCGGCCUGAGAGGGUGGACGGCCACAUUGGGACUGAGAUACGGCCCAGACUCCUACGGGAGGCAGCAGGGGGGAAUAUUGCACAAUGGGCGCGAGCCUGAUGCAGCGACGCCGCGUGGGGGAUGACGGCCUUCGGGUUGUAAACUCCUUUCGCUAGGGACGAAGCUUUUUGUGACGGUACCUAGAUAAGAAGCACCGGCUAACUACGUG